AAAAGCGCGACAAAUGGAUUGGCGCUAAAUAAUAGACGACGAGUCAUACUUAUAGACGAAUCGACGUCGUUCCACUCUCUUUAUAAGCACUUAAUUCAGCUCACUGUUUGAUCGCUGACAUUUUUGAAUUCACUCGAUCAAAAAGCCCAGAGGAUUAAUGUCAGUUCAACUCAAUGAAAUUAUGACAUUGAGAACUCGGAGGUAUAGACAUGUUAAAAAAGAUUAACCCAACUGAUCCUUGACUGUCAAGGUUAUAUACCUUGAAAGCAUCUUCAUCAGUUCGAUCAUCUCCAAUAUAGACCGGAAGAACAUCAUUGGAAUUGCUCAAUCCUAGAGUGUCAAGUAAAUAUUCGAGUGCAUGACCUUUGUCCCAUUCUAUUGAUGGCCGUAUUUCCAUUACCUUCAUAUGAAUUUUCACAUAGGUAUUACUAUAUAAGAGAAAAUCUUGUAAAAUCUUAGGCAUAAAAUUAAAAGAUAAAUCCCUACCUUUUUACCCCAAUUCAAAUGAAAAUCUGGAUAAUUGCCAAGCACGGACUUAACCUUCUCUUCUAAUAAUUCAUAAUCCUGUUCAACAACAAUUCUAUGUUAGAAUACUUUUCAUAUAUCCAAAACAAUGAACAGAACUAGAUUAGUGUAAUGAAGGUAUCUAAUUUGUUUCCUGUAAUGAUUUGUACCACAAUACAGCAUACAUAUGACAUUACCUCUUCUCUAACCAGCCUAUAAUGUACGGAGACGCAAAAUCUAUUAUCUUCUACUCUGGCACCUUGUAUUUUUAUGACUUUCUCUUUCAGUUCUGUCAGUAUCUGUCACAAAAAAAUUACUUGUUAUUGAAUAACAAGAUGUAGCCAUGAAGUUUUCAUAUAUGGUGUUGUCUGUGCAAGUAAGACGGAAUCAUAGUUCUACUUGAUCUCUAAUAAGGCUGGAAUUUUAUAGCUUACCUUCUGCAUCGCAGGCAAAUAUUUAUGUGCAGGUUGGAAGCGAACUUCAUUCCCCUACAAAAUUGAACAGAGUAUUUGUUAGUUACAGGGAAAAACAUGUUCUGUCUUCCAAAAAUAUCAACUCAUCUGAUCUGUACGGAUAAUCACGCAGAAAGCCUCCAAAAUCAUUCAAAGACGAAGAAUGUGUUACCUUUUUGUCAGUGGAAACAGCAUGGCAUUUCCCAUCGCAGGACUUCACUGGCCUUGGUGGUGCCAUAAUGUCCAUGCCAUGGCUUCCGGCAUAGUAUACAUUACUUAACUUUACAAAUUCUUUUACCUGUGUCAAAAUAGGGAUAGUAUGUAUCAAGAUAUUGACUCUUCCUUAGACAGCAAAAUAGUAGUGUCAAAGUGGGUUGACGUCCACUAUGUUGACACGAUUAGGUCAACACAAACACGAUCCAUUUAUUAAUCGUAUUCGUAAUAAAAUGUAGAAGUUACAAAAUAGAUUCUGUUGUUACCUUAUCUCUGCUCCUACCACUGAUUAUAGCAGUUGGAAAAUACUUUGAAACUUCUCGUACUGCUGCGCGCAUCUGUGAGCAGAAAACACGACAGUAGUUUCUAGCUUUA